rnacentral:rRNA from 1 species
AGCUCCAAUAGCGUAUAUUAAAGUUGUUGCAGUUAAAAAGCUCGUAGUUGGAUUUCGGGACGGGCCAGUUGGUCCGCCGCAAGGUGUGUUACUGACUGGUCUGUUCUUCUUCGCAAAGACUACGUGUGCCCUUUAUUGAGUGUGCGUAGGAUUUACGACGUUUACUUUGAAAAAAUUAGAGUGUUCAAAGCAGGCUAUCGCUUGAAUACAUGAGCAUGGAAUAAUGGAAUAGGACUUUGGUCCUAUUUUGUUGGUUUCUAGGACCGAAGUAAUGAUUAAGAGGGACAAUUGGGGGCAUCCGUAUUUCGUUGUCAGAGGUGAAAUUCUUGGAUUUACGAAAGACGAACAACUGCGAAAGCACUUGCCAAGAGUGUUUUCAUUAAUCAAGAACGAAAGUAGG